UACGGAGGGUGCAAGCGUUAUCCGGAUUCACUGGGUUUAAAGGGUGCGUAGGCGGGUAGGUAAGUCAGUGGUGAAAUCUUCGAGCUUAACUCGGAAAACUGCCUUUGAUACUAUCUAUCUUGAAUAUUGUGGAGGUAAGCGGAAUAUGUCAUGUAGCGGUGAAAUGCUUAGAUAUGACAUAGAACACCUAUUGCGAAGGCAGCUUACUACGCAUAUAUUGACGCUGAGGCACGAAAGCGUGGGGGAUCAAACAGG
rnacentral:rRNA from 1 species